UUUUAAGCUACUAAGAGCAUACGGUGAAUGCCUUGGCACUGAGAGGCGAUGAAGGACGUGGUAAGCUGCGAUAAGCUUCGGGGAGUGGCACACACACUUUGAUCCGGAGAUUUCCGAAUUGGGAAACCACCCGCAAGGGAUCUGUUCAUGAAUUCAUAGUGAACAGAGGCUAACGAAGGGAACUGAAACAUCUAAGUACCUUCAGGAAAAGAAAUCUAUGAGAUUCCCCCAGUAGUGGCGAGCGAACGGGGAACAGGCUAAACCUAGAUCAUUAAUUUGAUCCAGGGGUCGUGGGACUCUAAUGUGAGACUUAAGUUGUUAGGAGAAGGCUCUGGAAAGGGCCGCUAAAGAGGGUGAUAGCCCCGUAACCGAAAACAACAAGAGCUCUAGGAGUAUCCCGAGUACCAUAGGACACGUGUAAUCCUAUGGGAAUCAGGGGGGACCACCCUCCAAGCCUAAAUACUACUCAGUGACCGAUAGUGGACAAGUACAGUGAUGGAAAGGUGAAAAGAACCCCGAGAGGGGAGUGAAAUAGAAACUGAAACCGUAUGUUUACAAGCAGUCGAAGCACUUUAUAUGUGCGACGGCGUACCUCUUGCAUAAUGAGUCAGCGAGUGAUCUUUGCAGGCAAGCUUAAGCCGUUACAGGUGGAGGCGCAGCGAAAGCGAGUCUGAAUAGGGCGUUUAGUCUGCAGGGAUCGACCCGAAACCCAGUGAUCUAUCCAUGACCAGGCUGAAGCGAGGGUAACACCUCGUGGAGGGCCGAACUAGUUGGUGUUGAAAAACCUUUGGAUGAGUUGUGGAUAGGGGUGAAAGGCCAAUCAAACUGGGUGAUAGCUGGUUCUCCCCGAAAUAUAUUUAGGUAUAGCUUUCGGUAAAUUGUAUCACGGAGGUAGAGCACUGAAUGGGCUAGGGGUCCUUACCGGAUUACCAAACCCAAAUAAACUCCGAAUGCCGUUGAUAUCUACCCGAGAAGGCAGACGUGGGGUGAUAAGGUCACACGUCGAGAGGGAAAGAGCCCAGACCAACAGCUAAGGUCCCUAAAUCAUCGCUCAGUGGUAAACGUUGUGGGGUUACUUUGACAACUAGGAGGUUGGCUUAGAAGCAGCAAUCCUUUAAAGAAAGCGUAAUAGCUCACUAGUCUAGUGACCCUGCGCGGAAGAUACAACGGGGCUAAGCGAUGUACCGAAGCUUUGGCUUGUCGUAAGACAGGGGUAGGGGAGCGUUGAAGUGUAGGCUGAAGGUUGACCGUAAGGACAGCUGGACGAACUUCAAGUGAUCAUGCUGACAUAAGUAGCGUUGAACUCGGGUGAAAAACCCGGGCGCCGAAAACUCAAGGAUUCCUGGGCAAGGAUAAUCCUCCCAGGGUUAGUCGGGACCUAAGGCGAGGCCAAUUGGCGUAGUCGAUGGCAAAACGGUUAAUAUUCCGUUACCCGAUCUAGAAUCGUCUCCGGAGGGACAGAAUAGGUAAUUACAGCCUCUUAUUGGAUUGAGGUGUAAGUGUGUAGGUGGUGUCGUAGGCAAAUCCGCGGCACAUAACACUGAGGCACGAAUGCGAGGGGCUUGCCCCGGAAGUGUAACAAGCCAUGUUCUCAAGAAAAUCUUCGGAGAUUAGCUAGACGGCCCGUACCGUAAACCGACUCAGGUGAGUGGGGUGAAUAUCCUAAGGCGAUUGGGUGAAUCUUGGUUAAGGAACUCGGCAACUUAACACCGUAACUUCGGGAAAAGGUGUGCCCUCGAGAGUGUAAGGACUUGCUCCCCAAGCUUUUGAGGGUCGCAGAGAAAUGGGAGUAGCGACUGUUUAUCAAAAACACAGGCAUGUGCAAAGUCACAAGACGACGUAUACGUGCUGACGCCUGCCCGGUGCUGGAAGGUUAAGAGGAUUUGUCAGCGCAAGCGAAGCAGAGAAUCGAAGCCCCAGUAAACGGCGGCCGUAACUAUAACGGUCCUAAGGUAGCGAAAUUCCUUGUCGGGUAAGUUCCGACCUGCACGAAUGGCGUAACGACUUCUCCGGUGUCUCAACCAAGGGCCCAGCGAAAUUGAAUUCUCGGUGAAAAUGCCGAGUACCCGCAGAAAGACGGAAAGACCCCGUGAACCUUUACUGUAGUUUGGCAGUGAUUUUAGAGUUUUCAUGUGUAGGAUAGGUGGGAGCCUGUGAGACCGGGUCGCUAGAUCCGGUGGAGGCAACGUUGAAAUACCACCCUUGGGAACUUUGAAAUCUAACCUGCGGCCAUCACUGGCCGAGGGACACUGUCUGAUGGGCAGUUUGACUGGGGCGGUCGCCUCCCAAAGAGUAACGGAGGCGCGCGAUGGUACCCUCAGCCUGAUUGGAAACCAGGCGUCGAGUGCAUUGGCAUAAGGGUGCUUGACUGCGAGACCUACAAGUCGAGCAGGUGCGAAAGCAGGCCAAAGUGAUCCGGUGGUCCCGUGUGGAAGGGCCAUCGCUCAACGGAUAAAAGGUACUCCGGGGAUAACAGGCUUAUUCCGCCCAAGAGUCCAUAUCGACGGCGGAGUUUGGCACCUCGAUGUCGGCUCAUCACAUCCUGGGGCUGGAGCAGGUCCCAAGGGUUUAGCUGUUCGCUAAUUAAAGUGGUACGCGAGCUGGGUUCAGAACGUCGUGAGACAGUUUGGUCCUUAUCUUCUGUGGGCGUAGGAAAUUUGAGCAGAUCUGUCCUUAGUACGAGAGGACCGGGAUGGACGAACCUCUGGUGUUCCUGUUGUCGCGCCAGCGGCAACGCAGGGUAGCUAUGUUCGGAAUGGAUAACCGCUGAAAGCAUCUAAGCGGGAAGCCAACUGCGAGAUAAGAUUUCCCGGACUUCGGUCCCUAAAGGCUCCUCGGAGACUACGAGGUUGAUAGGCUGUGGGUGUAAGUCUGGUAACAGAUUCAGCUGAACAGUACUAAUAGGCCGUGCGGCUUUUUAUA
rnacentral:rRNA from 1 species